AUAAGCUUUGUUGCGCCAACAGCUUUUGAAGUUGUUCAAUAGCAGCAAGGCGCAUAUCCGAAGAAGAUGCGACUAGCGUUGUUUGUGCAUCUCUCGGUUUGGUACGCUGCAAGAGAGUUUUUAGAGUUUCAACUCGUUUCUCAAUACCACGCUCGCCUGUAACUUUUUCUUUAUAAUUUCCAAUUUCUUUAAUAAAUUGCUUUUCCUUAUCAGAAAGAUCAGGGACACGCAAGUCCAUAACACGUUGUAAAACCUGAUCAAUCCUCUUUUCACACAUUGACAUAUCAGAAGUUAAGUGCUCUAGAUGCUCAGUAGACCAUGCUUUUUCUCUAAAGUUACUAAUCCUGUCUGAAAGUUUGUAAAUGUGGUUCUGCUGUCGCUCAUAUUCCUCCCUUUGAAGCUUUAAACGGUGAUGCAGCUCGCUACAGCCAUGAUCUAACAAAUUCAGCGUUUCCCUAUAACGAGCAACAACUUUUCCUAAAAAGCGUAAGGAAGCGGAUGACACUGUAAUUUCAUUUUGCAGUUCAGCAGGUACAAUUGUUCUUUCAACCAAACUUGGGAUUGAAGGAUCUGUAAAGGGAGUUUUUUCUAAUAAUGAAACAUAUAAAGGUGUAU